UACGUAGGGGGCAAGCGUUGUCCGGAAUCAUUGGACGUAAAGAGCGUGUAGGCGGCCAGAAAAGUCCGCUGUGAAAACUCGAGGCUCAACUUCGAGCUGUCGGUGGAAACUUUCUGGCUAGAGUCCGGAAGAGGAGAAUGGAAUUCCUGGUGUAGCGGUGAAAUGCGCAGAUAUCAGGAAGAACACCCGUGGCGAAGGCGGUUCUCUGGGACGGUACUGACGCUGAGACGCGAAAGCGUGGGGAGCAAACAGG
rnacentral:rRNA from 1 species